rnacentral:rRNA from 1 species
UACAGAGGGGGCAAGCGUUGUUCGGAAUUACUGGGCGUAAAGGGCUCGUAGGCGGCCAACUAAGUCGGAUGUGAAAUCCCCAGGCUUAACUUGGGAACUGCAUCCGAUACUGGAUGGCUUGAAUCCGGGAGAGGGAUGCGGAAUUCCAGGUGUAGCGGUGAAAUGCGUAGAUAUCUGGAGGAACACCGGUGGCGAAGGCGGCAUCCUGGACCGGCAUUGACGCUGAUGAGCGAAAGCCAGGGGAGCAAACGGG